AUUGCUUUUUGGCCUUUGGCUAAGAUCAAGUAUAGUAUCUGUUUUUAUCAGUUUAAUAAUUAAUAUGUCCUGUAUCCAUGGACAAUGUAUUAAUUGGAUUUUUGGAGCAGGGAGUUGGAAUAGAGCUUGCUCCAUCCACUCCACCCAUCAACCUGGUAUUGCAGUAUCUUUAGGAAUGGUGCACCUCCC